UACGGAGGAUGCGAGCGUUAUCCGGAUUUAUUGGGUUUAAGGGGUGCGUAGGCGGACGCUUAAGUCAGCGGUAAAAUUGCGGGGCUCAACCUCGUCGAGCCGUUGAAACUGGGUGCCUUGAGUGGGCGAGAAGUACGCGGAAUGCGUGGUGUAGCGGUGAAAUGCAUAGAUAUCACGCAGAACUCCGAUUGCGAAGGCAGCGUACCGGCGCCCUACUGACGCUGAAGCACGAAGGCGUGGGUAUCGAACAGG
rnacentral:rRNA from 1 species